AUGGAGCACGACGAAUUGGAAGACUCAAGUCACAAUACCUAUGUCGACCAUGAUCCAUUGGACUAUGUGUACUCAAACCUCCCCGACAGUACACACAUCCUCAAGCACGCCGCGAACUGCGACCAUUUCAAGGCCAAGAAGUUUGUGUCCGAGGCCCCAGGAUUCUGCUGUCGCAAUGGGUAGAUCGAGCUGAAGCAACCGGAGCCCAUCCCGGAGCUAAUGAGGCUUUGGUCUAGCACGGAUGCGGACUCUAGGCAUUUUCGGGAGAACAUACGGUUCUUCAACGGCCACUUCUCCUUCACAACUCUCGACGUCAGCCUGGAUGAAAGCUAGACAAACAUGAAGUCUGGGGUGUACACCUUCCGGGCGCACGGCACCAUCUACCACAAUGUUCAUUCCUUCGGGACAACAUUCCGUCCAGAGCAUCUACAGUUGUACUUCUACGACAACGACCCAGGCCUAACCCAUUGCCAGCCUGCCACCAAGCAAUUAGAUCAGAAUGUCAUCAGAAAGUUAGUGGACAUACUCAAGGAAAACCCGUACUCCCAGCAAUUUAGGAGUUUGGGUGCCCACAGGACAACCUCGACGAUUACAUGA
rnacentral:rRNA from 1 species